GAUGAACGCUGGCGGCGUGCCUAAUACAUGCAAGUCGAACGAGUUCUUGUUGAUGAUCGGUGCUUGCACCAAGAUUCAACAUGGAACGAGUGGCGGACGGGUGAGUAACACGUGGGUAACCUGCCCUUAAGUGGGGGAUAACAUUUGGAAACAGAUGCUAAUACCGCAUAGAUCCAAGAACCGCAUGGUUCUUGGCUGAAAGAUGGCGUAAGCUAUCGCUUUUGGAUGGACCCGCGGCGUAUUAGCUAGUUGGUGAGGUAAUGGCUCACCAAGGCGAUGAUACGUAGCCGAACUGAGAGGUUGAUCGGCCACAUUGGGACUGAGACACGGCCCAAACUCCUACGGGAGGCAGCAGUAGGGAAUCUUCCACAAUGGACGCAAGUCUGAUGGAGCAACGCCGCGUGAGUGAAGAAGGCUUUCGGGUCGUAAAACUCUGUUGUUGGAGAAGAAUGGUCGGCAGAGUAACUGUUGUCGGCGUGACGGUAUCCAACCAGAAAGCCACGGCUAACUACGUGCCAGCAGCCGCGGUAAUACGUAGGUGGCAAGCGUUAUCCGGAUUUAUUGGGCGUAAAGCGAGCGCAGGCGGUUUUUUAAGUCUGAUGUGAAAGCCCUCGGCUUAACCGAGGAAGCGCAUCAGAAACUGGGAAACUUGAGUGCAGAAGAGGACAGUGGAACUCCAUGUGUAGCGGUGAAAUGCGUAGAUAUAUGGAAGAACACCAGUGGCGAAGGCGACUGUCUGGUCUGUAACUGACGCUGAGGCUCGAAAGCAUGGGUAGCGAACAGGAUUAGAUACCCUGGUAGUCCAUGCCGUAAACGAUGAAUGCUAGGUGUUGGAGGGUUUCCGCCCUUCAGUGCCGCAGCUAACGCAUUAAGCAUUCCGCCUGGGGAGUACGACCGCAAGGUUGAAACUCAAAGGAAUUGACGGGGGCCCGCACAAGCGGUGGAGCAUGUGGUUUAAUUCGAAGCAACGCGAAGAACCUUACCAGGUCUUGACAUCUUUUGAUCACCUGAGAGAUCAGGUUUCCCCUUCGGGGGCAAAAUGACAGGUGGUGCAUGGUUGUCGUCAGCUCGUGUCGUGAGAUGUUGGGUUAAGUCCCGUAACGAGCGCAACCCUUAUGACUAGUUGCCAGCAUUUAGUUGGGCACUCUAGUAAGACUGCCGGUGACAAACCGGAGGAAGGUGGGGAUGACGUCAAAUCAUCAUGCCCCUUAUGACCUGGGCUACACACGUGCUACAAUGGAUGGUACAACGAGUUGCGAGACCGCGAGGUCAAGCUAAUCUCUUAAAGCCAUUCUCAGUUCGGACUGUAGGCUGCAACUCGCCUACACGAAGUCGGAAUCGCUAGUAAUCGCGGAUCAGCACGCCGCGGUGAAUACGUUCCCGGGCCUUGUACACACCGCCCGUCACACCAUGAGAGUUUGUAACACCCGAAGCCGGUGGCGUAACCCUUUUAGGGAGCGAGCCGUCUAAGGUGGGACAAAUGAUUAGGGUG
rnacentral:rRNA from 1 species